rnacentral:misc_RNA from 1 species
GCUCCAUUACCUUGGUCGACAAGAAUGAUGAUUGCACUCGGUGCUGCCAAGGGACUAGCUUUCCUACACAAUGCAGACAGGCCUGUUAUCUACCGAGAUUUUAAGACGUCAAAUAUCUUGUUGGACUCGGACUAUACUGCCAAACUUUCGGAUUUUGGACUAGCAAAAGCUGGACCGCAAGGUGAUGAGACCCAUGUAUCUACACGGGUGAUGGGUACCUAUGGAUAUGCCGCCCCAGAAUACGUAAUGACUGGUCACCUGACUGCAAGGAGCGACGUCUAUAGCUUUGGUGUCGUCCUACUCGAGCUUCUGACAGGACGACGAUCGGUCGACAAGACCCGCCCCGGCAAGGAGCAGUGCCUGGUUGAGUGGGCUCGCCCCAAGCUCAACGACAAACGCAA